rnacentral:lncRNA from 1 species
GAGAGUAGCACAAUCAAAUGAGAAGGACCUGGGCUUCAAGUUGAACAGAAGUGGCUUAGACUCCUAGGUCUGCCAUGGUGCGAUCUUUGAUAGGCUAAUUCUCUGAGCCUCAGUUUUGUCUACCGAAAAACACACAUGGUAUUUUCUCCUAGGCUUUUUGUGACAACUCAAGGUGGAAGUGUAUUCAGAUAACUCCUGAACUGUUUAACAAAUGCUGGCACACCAUGGAAUAUGGCUAAUUCAAACCCAGCCUGUGUGCAUCCAGAGUUCGAAUAUGUCAUCAUUAUGAAGAGGGUGUAAAACCAAGCCAAACGGAAAAGCCCCAAACUCGGCAUGAAUAAGCCAUCUGCAGAAUGGGAACUGAGUUAUAAAAUCUGGGUGGGUUAUAAAGUACAUAGAAGCUGGAAGUGUAAAUUAAAUGGAAGACCUGGAAGACAACAGGUGAAGACUUUGGAAUGGGGAACUGGUGAAAGGUUGUAUGUGACCAUACCAGAGCAGAUGUGAGCAUUGGUGAGGGAACAUGCUGGAUAGCGGGAGUAGGGAGUGGGUUGAAGUUGGUAGAUAAUACUUGUGGAUAAGAUCAUCAAAGGGCAGGCAAUUAAAAAAGUGUGGUAGGAAAGUCCAAGCAGACCCACAUGCUGCUGAGAUAAAGAGGGCACAGAUAGGAAAAGUAAAAUUUCAAGACACAAUUUUUAUAAUCUAUAGUAGUCAUUAUGAGAUUUUUUUUAAUGACAAGCAGAGUACAUAACAAAGAUGUUAGGUGGCAAAUACCCCAACUCACAGAGGCUCUCAAAUAGUUAAGAACAUAUUUGUUCAUCUACAUUAAAGGCCUGAGAUUGGAUCCAGCUUCAGAUACAAUUUGAUUCCAUUGAAUAGUACUAGGAUCAUUUAUUGUCUCAUUCCUCUGUGUGUUAUCUUUAUUUUUUGUUGUUUUCUCUAGUCCGGACUAAAUGUCAGAAUAAAAUGUCAACCUCACAUCUGAAAAUCUAGCA